GAUGAACGCUGGCGGCGUGCUUAACACAUGCAAGUCGAACGGAGCCAAGGAGUGCUUGCAUUCCUGAAGCUUAGUGGCGGACGGGUGAGUAACGCGUGGGGAAUCUGCCCCGUACCGGGGGAUAACACUUAGAAAUAGGUGCUAAUACCGCAUAAGCGCACGGUACCGCAUGGUACAGUGUGAAAAACUCCGGUGGUACGGGAUGACCCCGCGUCUGAUUAGCCAGUUGGCAGGGUAACGGCCUACCAAAGCGACGAUCAGUAGCCGGCCUGAGAGGGUGAACGGCCACAUUGGGACUGAGACACGGCCCAAACUCCUACGGGAGGCAGCAGUGGGGAAUAUUGCACAAUGGGCGAAAGCCUGAUGCAGCGACGCCGCGUGAGUGAAGAAGUAUCUCGGUAUGUAAAGCUCUAUCAGCAGGGAAGCAAAUGACGGUACCUGACUAAGAAGCCCCGGCUAACUACGUGCCAGCAGCCGCGGUAAUACGUAGGGGGCAAGCGUUAUCCGGAUUUACUGGGUGUAAAGGGUGCGUAGACGGUGUGGCAAGUCUGAAGUGAAAGGCAUGAGCUCAACUCAUGGACUGCUUUGGAAACUGUCAUACUUGAGUGCAGGAGGGGUAAGCGGAAUUCCCAGUGUAGCGGUGAAAUGCUUAGAUAUUGGGAGGAACACCGGCGGCGAAGGCGGCUUACUGGACUGCAACUGACGUUGAGGCACGAAAGCGUGGGGAGCAAACA
rnacentral:rRNA from 1 species